AGCCAAAAAUUCGUUCAAGAACUCAAGAUAUGGCUCCAAAUAUUACUAUCAAUAAAAUGACUCACUUACUGCCUUUGAAUUACAUGUGCUGUCUUCAAUGUCCUAUAACUCCUUGAUCUAGACUUGGAAUUUGUCAAACAGUAUAUGUAAAGUAUAAUCAAGAAAGUGCUUUCUCCAAUUCUAGUUGCCGAUCUUUCAUUGCUCUCUGUAUGCAUAUGUUAUAUUUUAAAGAGUGACAGUAGAUAAAAAUAUAACACCUUAACUUUGAACACCUAUAUCUCCUUUAAAAAAACUCGAAAUCACACAAACUCUUCACCCAAAUUAUAUCCAAAACCCUGAACUUUUUGAUCCUAGCCUCCAAAGUUCGAAUGAAUUCGAAAGAGAAAUCCUAAUCCCUAAUAAGACCUCGGGUAGCCUACUUGAAGCCCAUUGGGCAUGGCCUUCGACCAAUAGGAAUGAAGUUUUCCAUUCUUUGCCUUCAUCCAACCAUACCUUACUUUCAUCCCUUCCAAUAAGCCUCCUAUUAGUUAAGAUUUUCUUCUUUAGGUCCCAACCUUCUCUUAAGCUUUAUACUAAAUAUCUAAAUCCUACAUAAUAUAAAUACUAUAAUCAAAAUAGAUAAAUCUCCAAAUAAAUUUUCUUAUAUCAAUUCUCUUUAAAUUUAUUUACUAACCGCUCUAAUCUAUAUCAAGACUUAUAAAUAUAUUAUAUUUUUUAAUUAAUUUUUACAUACUAUAAGCAAUUAUAGUAUGAUAUCCACCCCCUCCAAACCUACACAUCCUCCGGUAUGUGCCACGUAUUACUCCUCUUCAUCCUCUUGAGAUUUCUUUGAAUUACUCAUAGGCUCUUCUUUUUUAUCUUCUUAGUCCAAAUAUUGAGGUAAGAAUUCUUGAAGGUCUUCUAUUUGAAAUAAUCCAUCUCUUUUUUUGAAAGUCUUCACCCUCUUCUCUGCUAUUAGAAUCUUUAUGAUAGCUCCAUCUAAUUCACGUAAAGUAUAUGUAGCAUUAUCAUAGAAUAUAACCACCACAUAUGGUUGAAACCAUUUUUUUACAAAUUUCUUUAUAGUACUUUACUGAUGCUCAAGGCUGCUAUCAUAAAUUAGAACCCAGUCUCCAAUCUCUAUAGGCUUAGGCCUCAACCUAUGAGUCUUAUCAAAUCUUUCUUUAUUUUUUAAUCUUGCUUUUUGUAAUCUCUCAACUGUAAUUUGUAGGUCUUCACAUAAUCUACCCAAUUAUUGGAUUCAAAGCUCUAAUAAUCUUUCUCUGUUUAUAUCAUCUUCUCAAGAUAAAAACAUCCAUGUAGGAUAGGUUUCUUCAGUUGGCAUCAUAGGUUUUUGUCCUAAUAUUAACUCUAUAGGCAUAUAACCAAUGACAGUACUCUGAGUAGUUCUAUCAACCCAUAAAGCAAAUGAAAGCAGUUUUGGCCAUUGAAUUGACUUACCCUUACAUCCCUUAACCAAUGCAUAAAUGAUAGGAGGAUGACCCCUCUCACUCUUUCCAUUAGCUUUAGAAUUAUAAGAAGUAGUCAGCUUCAAUUGAACUCCGUACCUGUUAAAAAAUUCUCUUCCUUCAAUGACAUCCAAUUCUCCUCUAUCAGCUCUCAUUUUUCCAGUGCUACCAUAUUUGCUAAAGAUGUCUUCCAAUAUAAAUUUUCAUAUUACCUUUGUAAUCUUGGUUCUCAAAGCCCUCCCUUCAAUAUAAUUUGACAGCUCUUCUCUUGCCAAAAUCAAAUAUUUCAUACUCCAAAGUCUUAAUGGCAUAGCUACCAAAUCAAUCACCCAUUGAAAAUAUAUUGAAGGUGGAUAAGUAGGAUGUAAUCCAUCUCUGUACCUAACUUUAGAUUGUAGUUGAUAUUCUAUACAGGAGCUCACAAAGUCUUCUACAACCUUAUAUAAACUCUUCCACCAAUACCUUUCCUUGAUCUUGGUAUAUGUAGCCCAAAUUCCUCUAUGCCUUAUCCAAAUUGUAUCAUGAUAUUCUCUUAAAAUCUUAAACUUAGUUUCAAGAUCUCUUACUAUCCUCAAUAGUAUUUUAUCACCUCAUUUUGGCCUCUUCCAUAAGAAUCCAUCUCUAAGCAAAUAACCAUAGGAUUGAUGUCUAAUAUCUUUGAAGGUUUUAUCCAUCCACCCUUCUAGUUUCUUCAUUGUGCUUAAAUAAAUUCUAAUAUCCUUCAACUUGCCUUUAUACAAACCUUCAUAGAACUUUUGAACCUUAUCACCAAAAUCCAUUCUACCAGUAGCAAAUGAAUUUCCAUAAGUCUUCUCUUCUUGAUCUUCACCUCUUUCAUGUGCCAUCAUUUCUUCUUCAAAGGUAUAUUUGAUUCUAGACAACAUAUCUGCCACUAAGUUUUCUUUGCCAGUUACAUGUAUUAAAACAAGAUUUAAUGUUCUUAUGUAGGCUAUCCAUUUUGAUUUAGCAAUGUCUAGAGUAGUACAGUUAAUUAUCAUUUCAAGUAAUCGCAAACAAUCUGUUUUCAAAACCAUACUUGGUCCAAUCAAAUAAUUUCUCUCAACCUUUAAAGUGGUGAAUACUCUCCAAAACUCUCUUUUAACUUGUGGAUAAAUCCUUUGCCUCUUUGUAAGAAUCCUAGCUCCAAACCUUAUAGCAAAUCUUCUCUCUUUUACAUCAUCUUGUCCAAUAGUCCAUCCAAUUGCUAUAGGGCUUGUAUCCAUUAUUACAACCACUGGUCUUCCACAUUGAUAAUCCACUUGUCUAAGCAUAGAUGGUGAACUCAACAUCUUUUUUAGGUUUUCUAUAGCUAUUUUUUGUUUUUCUUCCCAAAAAAAAUUCUUACCUUUCCUUACUAACUUAUAUAGUGGCUCUGAGAUAUAGACAAAGAGAGUCACCUAAAUGUCAUAGAAUACACAUGCUCUUAAAAACCUUCUGACUUUUGUAACAUUUUUAUAAGCCUUCAUUCUAGAUAUAGCAUCAAUUUUAUUAGGGUUUGGUUUCCUACCAUACCUGCCAUACAUGUGUUCCACCACUAGAAUCUCAUCAAUUCCAAAGCUUGAUUUCUCCAAAGAUAAUGUGAAAUUAACUGAUUCCAAUUUCUCCAAUAUUCGAGCUACAUCUUCAAUAUGCUUCUUAACAAACUUCUUACAAUCUUCAACCUCCAUAGUCUCAUUCUUGUCUUCUUCUUUAUCUCUCUUUAUAGGUAUAUCAUCUAAAAAUGGUAUGGUUUUUUCAAAAAUAAAUUCUUUCAAUAUUUGGUUCAUAACAUUUUACAUAUGAGCCACUGAGUUGGUUGCACCUUGAGGUAAGGUAUACAUCCUCAUUAAAUCCAAAGAAGUCUUCAUAGUAGUUAAGUCCCUACUUUUUUUAGUCAAUUGAAAUUAGUCAUAUCCAAAAUAUAAGUCUCCAAUAGAAUAGAUGGCAUGACUUGUAAAUUGUUCAGCCACUUUAUCUACUACAGGACUUGAUCCCAUAUUCCAAAUAGUUACUCUAUUUGUAGGUUGCUCUUUUAGUAGUUUUAUCAACUUUUGAAGUAAAGCUCUGGGCAUAGGUAUAGGCUUUAAAUUCCAUAGAACAUGUGGCAUACUAAAAAUUACCAUAGGUACUACAACAUUAGGAUCCAUACAUCUAAUUUCAUUAGGAGUUAAGGCAAAUGCCUUACCAUGCCUAAUAAGCAUUUCUUGAAAUAUAAUUUUUUCCGUUGAUGUCAAGAAAUCACCCCCCUCCAAUCUUCAAUUUAGCCAAUGAUUCUUGAGUAAAUUGAUAUCCAAUUCUAUGUCCUUUACUUAGACUUGGCUCUUUAAUUGCUUGAUUGAUAUAUUCUAUAGUAUCAACUGGUAAUUGGGUAGGUAUAGAUUUUACCUUUCUUGCUAUAGCUUUAUAUUUAGUUUGUACUCUAGCUUCAUAUUUCAAUCCAUAGCUUGUAUCAAUUCUACCAAUUACUACUAUCUUUUCUAAUUCUUUAUAAGUCUCUUUUGAAUAUAUUUCUACUAUAGCAUUUCCAUCUAUGUUUAUAGCUAAAUUCUCUAGAACCUUUAUCAAAUCAUCUUCCAAACCUAUUUUUUCUAUUACUCCAAUUAUGGCUUCAUCACUUGAAACUAAACCCACUCUUUUUAAGUUUUUUUCUUGUUUCUUCAUCCUUCUUCUAUGUACAGAAUCUAAAUCUUUAAUCUUUUGAAUACUUACAAAUCCAUUAUUAGUCAAGUUUAAAAAUCCAAAACUCAUAUUAUCUACAAUGGGAUUUACAUAUGACUUAUUUGUAUCCAUGUGUCCCCAUUCUACAAGGGUGCUUUCUAGAAAUCCACAAAGUUUUUUCCUAGCUCCAAAGGCAUCCUUCUUAAUUGUUCUUUAUGCCUCUCAUGAAUAGAUUUCAUAGUAAUAAAUUUCACAGCUUUUCUUCUAUCCCAACUAUGAAUCCUGGCAUAAUGUGAACCAUCAUCCAAGACUCUAGUCUCCAUUCUAGCAGCUAUAAUAUAAGGUUGACCAAAUAUUAUAGGAUAUGUAGCCAAGUUUUGCACGAAGAAAUUUUGCUCCACUUCUACAUCUCCAAUUUUAAACCUUACAACUGGGCAAGCUCCGUAUAAAUUACCUUUUUGGUUGUUUGCAGCUCUAAUUAUCCAACCAUGAUUGGUAUCAAUUGGCUACUUAUUUUUCUCAUAUAUUUACCUUGACAUGAUAUUGAUUUCUGAUCUAUGAUCAACUAAGGCCAAAAUUGGAUCUUGAGUCCUCCAAUCUUACAUAUGUCUCUAUAGUAGCUCUAAUCCAAUAAGAAACUGAAUAGCUACUACUUCCCAUUCCAUCAUUAUCACAUUUAGAACAAGUAUUCAUACAUGCUUCUUCUGCAUUUUUUUUUAUCUCAAUAAUUCUCAUAGAUGCAUAUUUCAUUUGAUAUUCUUCUAUACCUUCUUCAUAUUUAUUUAAAGCCUCAUUCUUCAUAUCAACCUUAAUUCCAGCUUUUGAUAUUGUAAAUUGUGUAAAUACCUGUCUUAUCUCUUCUUCCUCAUCCAUAAUUACUUAAAUAUCUAAUGUUUCUAUCAUAAUAGCUUCAACUGUCAUUUGUCUCUUCCUCUUUAUCACAUUGAUGAUCAACUCAUGAAAAUCCUUUUUAGCUAUACCAAGAGCCUCUCUUAGAGUGAAUUCAAUUUUUGCAUCUAAGAUCUUCUCCUCUAAAAUACUCUUCAUAUCUAUAGAUGUUUCAAUGUCAGAUUGAAGUUUAUAAGUAGGAUUUUUAUCUUUAAGUUUGCUUGCAUUAUCUUUCUCCUUCUCUUUGCUCUUCUCCCACCAUUCUUUUGGUAAUAGUGCACCACCAGGAUGAGUGGAAGAAGGUAGUUUAUCCAAUUUUUGCUCUUUAAAAGCUUCUUUGUUUCUUAGAGACCUCCUCUUAUUUUCAAGCUCAAUAACAUCCUCUUCAUGAAUAGCUCUAUCUCUUUUUUUUUCAACCAUGGCAUCAUGUAAAUCAUCAUCAUAUUUGACUCCACAUAAAUAUGUUUUAAUACUAAUAGCAUCAAAUAGAUCAUUCCACUCAGUCAUUUUUUUGAUAGCUUCAACUCCUUUGAUCAUGACUUCUGUUGUUGGUAGGAAACUAGCCUUAAGUACUUUUUGUUCAACUGUAACAGAGUAAGACUCAGCUCAUUCUCCUUGUAUGGCAUUAUUCCUUGAUAUUUGCUCUUCUACUAAUUUUUUUCAUGCCACCUUUUCUAAAAAUUUUCUUUAAAGGCACAUCUGACCUUGUAAGUCUUAUCCUGCCUUCUUUGAAAUAUACAAUACCAUCCUUGAUUUUACCUUUGUAGUUGUCACAUUUACCAUGCUUAUGGUUUGGAUUGUCUCACCACAUACAUCUCUUUACAAAUCCGUUUGAGCCUUCAAUUGUCUUUGAUGAAUUUGCUAUUUAGGAUUUCUUCAACUCAGUCAUUUCCACCUUCAAAUCUUUUAUGUCUUUGAUCAAUUCUUCAAGAGUACCAUCCUUAACAGUCUUCAUCAUCUUUUGAGGUGGUCCUUGAUUCUGAGAUGUAGGCACUAGUUCCAAUCUUGAUAUUAAACCACGAGUCUUAAUUUUUUCUAUUAUUUAGCCAAAAGUCCCAUUGUCUCUUUUACUAGCUUCCAAUUAUUUGUAAAACCACUCUUAGAUGUCUUAUCUACUAGAUAAAAGAGAAGCUUGUCUUCCAAAUAUUCAUGAGCUGCUUGUAAAAAUAAUCUAGUUUUUCUCGUAUCAAAAAGCUUCCUUUCUUGCCAUGGUAAUUACCCAAACUUGAUCUCAAAUUCCCUGAUUAAUUCAUUUGGAGCCAAUUGAUUCCCUCGCCUUUGCUCAAUCCACUUCAAAAAAGUCUAUUUUGUCAUUCUUUUUGAAUCUUCUUCAAAAAAUUCAUCUUUUAAGAGUUCUUCAAAUUUCUUCCUGCACAUAGUUUCAAUAUGUAAUUCUUGUACCUUUUCUCUGAUUUUUGAUACCACUGCCAAAUCAAAGGUGGUAAUCAUCUUCAUUUCUGAAACCUGAUGCACCUCCAUUUCACAUGUAUAAAUGUUGAGAAACUUAGUAAUGUUCCUCCCAUCAAACCUUCCAAUUUUAUCCACCACUACUUGUAAAGCUUUGGUGGUAUUCCUAUCUUCUCCAUACACCUGUUGUCUUUCUUCUAUAAAUUAGACAAAUGCCCUAAAUAAAUCAUGGGCAUCCACCCCACCUGGUAAUGUGAACCCAGAGAUUUGGUCUCCCAUCUUAACUUGUUGAGAUAUUUAGAGCAUUAAGGCUCUCUCAGUGGAAGAACCAAUAUGUCCGGGUAGAAAGAGUUUGCCUCAAGAAAACUCUGAGCUUCUGGUUGCCACUAAAUACUCAAUCAAGUCUAAGAUAUAAAAAACUAAGUUUAUACAUAUAAUAUUUUUUCGUUUUGGGCAAUUACUUCAAAAUACAAGUCCAAGUACUAAGAAAACAUCCAAAUGAAUGAUAAAGAUCUUAAAACCUUUUAUAUCCUUAUGAGAGAUGCUUCUCGAACUUCAAUAGCUCAUAUCUCACAAUCACACCAUCCAAAAAAUCCUAAAUUUUACAUAUAGUAUUGAUAUACUUUCAAAAAAUUCUACAAAAAAAUCAACUGUAAAUUCGUUACGGAUCUUGAAAUAUUACCAAAAUCCUAACAAUAGCUUUAAACCCUAGCUAACUUAUACUUGCAUGCUAAUUUCUUUAUAUCUCACAAAAUAAGUACUUAAAUACUAUGAAACUUUGAUCUAUAGCUUUUUAACUUAAUAACUCACACUUCUGAAAAUUUUGAGCCAAAAAUUCGUUCAAGAACUCAAGAUAUGGCUCCAAAUAUUACUAUCAAUAAAAUGACUCACUUACUACCUUUGAAUUACAUGUGUUGUCUUCAAUGUCCUAUAACUCCUUCAUCUAGACUUGGAAUUUGUCAAACAGUAUAUGUAAAGUAUAAUCAAGAAAGUGCUUUCUCCAAUUCUAGUUGCCGAUCUUUCAUUGCUCUCCGUAUGCAUAUGUUAUAUUUCAAAGAGUGACAGUAGGUACAAAUAUAACACCUUAACUUUGAACACCUAUAUCUCCUUUAAAAAAACUCGAAAUCACACAAACUCUUCACUCAAAUUAUAUCCAAAACCCUGAACUUUUUGAUCCUAGCCUCCAAAGUUCGAAUGAAUUCGAAAGAGAAAUCCUAAUCCCUAAUAAGACCUCGAGUAGCCUACUUGAAGCCCAUUGGGCAUGGCCUUCGACCAAUAGGAAUGAAGUUUUCCAUUCUUUGCCUUCAUCCAACCAUACCUUACUUUCAUCCCUUCCAAUAAGCCUCCUAUUAGUUAAGAUUUUCUUCUUUAGGCCCCAACCUUCUCUUAAGCUUUAUACUAAAUAUCUAAAUCCUACAUAAUAUAAAUACUAUAAUCAAAAUAGAUAAAUCUCCAAAUAAAUUUUCUUAUAUCAAUUCUCUUUAAAUUUAUUUACUAAC
rnacentral:lncRNA from 1 species